CUAUAAAUAGGGGGUGGCAAAUGAAUUGAUCAUUCAAUUCUUACAUCUUUUAUCCACUCCCUCUCUCCCUCUCUUACAACUCUAGAGUUUAAGACAAAGGCUUGUUCUUUUAAGACAAGCCUAUUCCUAAUAACACUAAGGAUUUAAGAGAUUCAAAAGAAGGUGGUUAGAUUCAAUAGAUGGUUCUGAGAGGUUCAGACUCAAGUUUAGAGGAGGGUCUUAUCGACCGGUGGCUAAUAAGUUCUAGGGGCUAGAACUCUUGAAGCAAGAUGAAGGAGGAGCGCUGUCCUUGGUCUGAUUUUUGUAUGAAUCAUUAUUAG
rnacentral:lncRNA from 1 species